rnacentral:rRNA from 1 species
CGAGAAAGUGGAGCAAUCCAUGAGUAAAGUGGCGCACGGGUGAGUAACACGUGACUAACCUACCCUUGAGUGGGGAAUAACCUGGAGAAAUCUAGGCUAAUACCGCAUAACACCUACGGGUCAAAGGAGCAAUUCGCUUAAGGAGGGGGUCGCGGCAGAUUAGCUAGUUGGCGGGGUAAUGGCCCACCAAGGCGGUGAUCUGUAUCCGGCCUGAGAGGGCGCACGGACACACUGGAACUGAAACACGGUCCAGACUCCUACGGGAGGCAGCAGUGGGGAAUUUUGCGCAAUGGGGGAAACCCUGACGCAGCAACGCCGCGUGGAGGGUGAAGUCCCUUGGGACGUAAACUCCUUUCGAUCGGGACGAUUAUGACGGUACCGGAAGAAGAAGCCCCGGCUAACUUCGUGCCAGCAGCCGCGGUAAUACGAGGGGGGCAAGCGUUGUUCGGAAUUAUUGGGCGUAAAGGGUGCGUAGGCGGUUCGGUAAGUCUUAUGUGAAAUCUUCAGGCUCAACUUGAAGUCUGCAUGAGAAACUGCCGGGCUUGAGUGUGGGAGAGGUGAGUGGAAUUUCCGGUGUAGCGGUGAAAUGCGUAGAUAUCGGAAGGAACACCUGUGGCGA